UGGGGAAUUUUGGACAAUGGGCGAAAGCCUGAUCCAGCAAUGCCGCGUGUGUGAAGAAGGCCUUCGGGUUGUAAAGCACUUUUGUCCGGGAAAGAAAUCCUUGGCUCUAAUACAGUCGGGGGAUGACGGUACCGGAAGAAUAAGCACCGGCUAACUACGUGCCAGCAGCCGCGGUAAUACGUAGGGUGCAAGCGUUAAUCGGAAUUACUGGGCGUAAAGCGUGCGCAGGCGGUUUGCUAAGACCGAUGUGAAAUCCCCGGGCUAACCUGGGAACUGCAUUGGUGACUGGCAGGCUAGAGUAUGGCAGAGGGGGGUAGAAUUCCACGUNUAGCAGUGAAAAUGCGUAGAGAUGUGGAGGAAUACCGAUGGCG
rnacentral:rRNA from 1 species